ACCUCGUUUGUUGCAGUAUAUUCUGGACAAAUAAACAAUUUAUUAGGAAAAUACGUUCAAGAAACGUCUCGUGCUGUGCUAGCCUAAUUCUGGCAAAUGUUAUUUACUUUCUUCACCUUCGUGUCGAAGACUGUUGUUUGCUGAUGGCCAAAUCACGACAGCGGACAUCAAUUAUUCAAAAUAUGUUCUUAUAGCUUCACGUUUACGAUACGAAACACGUUUUAAUGUAAGAUUAUUUAUUUUUGUAUAUGUAGGUUCUAGUUGAAAGUGACAGCGACAAUGAAAAAAGUGCAAACAACAUUGAAAUAUCCAGUUCACUACUAGCUCAAAUCCUGCGACAUAUCACUUGCUAGUAGCCCAGUCUAGUUUAACCUUUCCCAAUCAAGAAUCAUCUCCUGAAUCAGGCAUACUGGCACUGGUUCAUUUGAUAAUGUAAGUUUUUAAACUGGUAUUUUAGAUUAUAGCCUCGGUCAAAUGAGGAUGAAAGUCAUGCAUGAAUUGCUUAUAAAUACACAAAGGACAUUUAAAGUUCCACAUGAACAAAAUAUUAUUAAAGCCUUGAUGAGUGUUCCAACUAUGUUUCAACUUAAUUAAAAUACUCUCAUCCUCGUUUGAUCCAUAAUUAUUUGUUGAUUUUACUCGAUACUAAAUAGUGAAACAUCGAAUCCAGAUAAAAUCUUAUGCAGAACCCACUGUAAUUCCGAGCUGUAAUCACAUAAUUAUAUAAAAGUCGUUUCAGUAGCAGCAAAAGCCAAACUAAACACCAACUAGGAUUAAUAGGUUUAGCUUUUAGGCCGAGAAUAAUACACGAUUGACAAUUUUGUGGCUGAUUGAUUUAAUAGUAUACUGUAUAUUGAUGUUGUUGUUGUAUACAGGACAUCUGACUUACAUGUCAAAUUAAUAGUCGAAUCUAUGAUUAUAUUGAGCAUGGCAGAUUUGACAUUUGAAACAUUGUUGAUGUUAAUAACCCAAUGAGUCGCAUUGUGCCCUGAUGCACACUAAGUAUUUAUUAUUUUACUCUGGUUAUCUAACGCUAGGUAAUUUUACUCAUCAAGUGGAGAGCACUGGCGGUUAAUGUGUUAACAAGCCUAUCUGCCCAUGUUUACAGUUAAACCAUUGAGUCGCAUUGUGCCCUAAUGCGGCCUAAUUUAUUUAUUAUUUCACUCUGCCUCUCGCAGGACAAUUUUACUCAUUAAGGGCAGAGCGCUGGCGCUUAAUGUGUUAACUGGCCUAUCUGCCCAUGUGUCUAGUUAACCCAUUGAGUCGCAUUGCGCCCUAAUUUAUUAUUUUACUCUUUCUAACGUCAGACAAUUUCACUCAUUAAGGGGAGAGCACCGGCACUUAAUGGGUUAACUGGCCUAUCUGCCCAUGUGUGUUGUUAACACAUUGAGUCGCAUUGUGCCCUAAUUUAUUAUUUUACUCUGUCUAACACCAGAUGAUUUUACUCGUCAAGGUAAGGGCGCUGGUGCUUAAUGGGUUAACUGGCCUAUUUGCCCAUGUUUAUAGUUAACCCAUUGAGUCGCAUUGCGGCCUACUUUAUUUUUUUUACUCUGUCUCGAGAGGAGAACGCAGGUGCUUAAUGGGGUUAAUAUUGAAAAUAUAGAUCAACAUUUGUCAAAACUCAUGACGUGUGCAAUCAUUUCUGUAAUAAGUAAGAUAUUAAAAUACCAAAUAUAAUGCCUUAUUGGCUUAUUUCAAAUAGGGAGAUGCUAUGUGACUAUGUCCAUUGAUACUUAGUGGAUUUGUUGUAGCUACAUCAAAUAAAUGCUAGCCAAAAACAUAUUCAAGUCAAUCAAAGAGAAUGUAGAAUUGCACUUUACAUAAAAUUCCCUAGUUAUUGUACAUUAAUGAAAAAGCAUUUGAAAUGGAAAUAUAUUGUUUUAAUUUUAUUUCUAUGGCUUGUACUAUGAUAUACAUGGGCUAUACACUCUUUGGGAACCCGCAGGGCUGUUGGCAGAACAUUUCCAUGAUCUGGAACUUCAGUCCUAAACACGAUGUGUGGGUGCGAAGAUGUUGUGUAGGAACAGAACUGUACAGAUUAGAAAUAUGAUUACUGAUAUUUUCCAAAGAAAAACUAUAAAAUUAAUAUAUAGAAGAGGAAAGAAAGAGGCUAUAAAUAGCCCAAAGUAUCUGUUGUACAUUUGAAAUUUAAAAAUGGUAGGCUUAUUAAGGAUGAGAUACAGAGAAAAACAGUAAUGCAGAACUACAUUCUCUUAAAUUGUCAAAAUUAAACGCUACCAAUCUUGGUCUCGUUUCAAACUUGAAUAACGAAAAGUCUAAAAAUAUAAAAACUAUAAGAACAGAUCAGCUAAGUCCAGUUAUAAAAUUAAAUGAUGAAGGAAAGCUGUCAUUUUAGGAAAGUGUUGUUUUGGGGUGUUUAAACUCAUGAGGUUACAUGUUUCUGGUGAAUCUGUGCUUGCUGCAGCAAAAAUUUAUUAAUCGUUUGUGAUGUAAUUCACAAGAUGUCUAUUUUAACCUGUGGGUUGCCAAACUUCUUAAAUAUGGAAUUUGUUUUGUCUGACCAAGAUAUAAUGAAUACCACUAGUGACAUUAGUAUGUCCAAUUAAUAUUUAACUAGAAAUAAAUGCAUGCAGCAACCCCUAGCCUAUAUUUUCCAAACAUUGAUUUAACAUGAACUAUUAGCAAUUGGCCAGCACUGAACACAGGCUCACGUUGUGUCAAGUGUUGUCAAGGCAACAUAAUGUCACAUUAUAUUUUAAAUUUUUUUGAGUAAUUUUGCAAGUGUUCAUACCACAGCAUCUACCAUACAUAAUUUUAAACAAAUAGAUAGGUGAAGUAAUUCAAACAAAAUGAUUUUGAACUUUAUUACUCUACUCUGUCGAACGCCUAUUCUACUCGUAAAGGGGAGAGCCCUGGUGCUUAAUGGGUUAAAUAAGAUUGUAUAGUUAUAUGUAUAUCAUGUAUUAUGUUUUUAUGCAGUCUCCCUGAACCACUUGUACCAGGCUAUGGAAAUUCAUGUUUCCAAUUUUGUAUUUAUUUUUCUUAUGAUACAGUAUACUGUAAAUUUGAAUAAUAUUUGUGUGCUUAUAUACUUAAUGCUUUUGGAAGGGUUAUAGGGGUCGGGUUUGAUAUACUUUUUCAGGUAUUUUGUGUCUGAUGUAUGUAAGAGCUUUAUUAUUGGGUUUCUUGGUGAGACCUUAUAUCUUAUGUGUCCUAUAACCCUCUGUAAUUGCGGAUUAUUGCAUACAUUCUAAUUGUAUUUUUUUGUAGGAGUCCAAAGAUGCAAAUGAUACAAUUUCAAACUUAUCACAACCCAUAUUGUGGCCGCUGGCAACGAACUAGAAUACGACUAGAAACUGUCAAUCAUACGUUAUCGAGGGAAAUGAUGAAAAUUCCAUAACAAGCAACAGUUGUUUUGAUGCAAUUAUCGCCUUAUUGGCAAGUUUUUACAUCUUCAAUAUUGAGUACUGCCACACGAAGAGCAUCUUGUCUGCCUUGCAGACUAUAGUAGUGCAUGGGCAACACAGAAAAUGGCAUACAACUGCCAAUAGUGAGUUUAAGCAAGUGACGUUUUUGACAACACGGACGUCGACCGGAGGUAAAGUUGACGUUUUUCACCAAUCACAGUCCUUGACCCAGUCUUCUGACGUUGCUCAUGCCGUCAGUGUUGUAAAAAACGUCACGUGCUUAUUGCUUAAGCUCACUAAUGAGGGUCACAGCCCUCUUCAAUGACUUGUUAUGACUCAUGAAUAUUAGUACUACAGUAAUUUUACACUUUUUGAGAGUUAUGUUGACAUAUGCUAACCCAAGUUAAUGUUAUUGAUGGAAUGUGUGUAUUGUCUCACAUCUCACCGAACUGUGGUAAUGUAUUAGAAAUUAUUCGUAUUGCGUUCAUGUUAACAACCGCGCCUGCUAUUGCUAUCACAAGUUGAUUGCUCUUUAAAAUUAGAAUUGUAAACUUUCAGAGCCAUAUGGCAUAUAUGUACGAAUCUUUUGAUGGUUCCCACAUUUCGGUGAGAUACAUAAUACUGACUACUGUGCAUGUAUAUUGUAAUUUUAGUUAUAGUAUUGUGCUUAUAAUACAGAAAUUGGAACAUUAUUUAUCUCAACUUAUAUUACAAUAAUUAAUUCCAAUCUUGGUCUGUUGGAGAAAUUGUAAUAAGACCAAAUAAACCCCAUUAUUUUUGCCUGAUUCAUUAUAUACAUGUAGAAUACGUCUACAUGCAACAGUGCUGUUACAGUGCAACCAAAUCAUACACAUGACUUUAAAUGCUAUAUAAAACGGCACCACCAAAAUGCUAUAUCAGCUCAAUCGGUUCUAAAGCACCUCUUCAUUGGGGCUGAGACAGCUCUCCUCUGAAAGGGCCAGAACAGCUCCGGUUAACAAAGUAGGGGUUAAAUUGGCUUUUCUUUUGGAUCUAUAAUGGCUCUGAAAUUGGACCAAAUUGACCCUUUGGGUGCUACAAACCUCGCUACAAACUACACCAUGAAAAAAGCUAUAUUAGCUCCUUCGGCUCUAAAGCAGCUCUUCUUUGGGGCUGAAACUGUGCUCUUCUGGGAGGGCCAAAAUAGCUCUGGUUAAAAAAGUAGGGGUUAAAUUGGCCUUUCU
rnacentral:lncRNA from 1 species